AUUGAACGCUGGCGGCAGGCCUAACACAUGCAAGUCGGGCGAGAGGCGGACGGGAGAGUAAUGUAUGGGGAUCGGACUGAUGGCGGGGGAUAACUACUGGAAACGGAUGCCAAAACCGCAUACCAGAAGAUGGAUCCAUAUGGGAUUUGGUUGUGGGUGGGGUAACGGCUCACCUCGGCGACGAUCCCUAGCUGGCCUGAGAGGAUGAUCAGCCACACUGGGACUGAGACACGGCCCAGACUCCUACGGGAGGCAGCAGUGGGGAAUAUUGGACAAUGGGCGAAAGCCUGAUGCAGCCAUGCCGCGUGUAUGAAGAAGGCCUUCGGGUUGUAAAGUACUUUCAGUCGGGAGGCGUUACCGACAGAAGAAGCACCGGCUAACUCCGUGCCAGCAGCCGCGGUAAUAC
rnacentral:rRNA from 1 species